UUUGGUUUUGUACACCCGUUUCAAAUGGCUGAAAAUACAAUAUUUUGGGCAAUGGAAAAUAUAUUUCACAGCGGUUUAGAUGGUACAAUGAUUCUCUACAGUAUACUUGGUUGUUUUGUCACAUUAACUGAAAUAGGCGAUCUAUUAGAAUUUGUUUUACCAAUGGACACAAAACAGCUUAGUUUCAGUUUUUUUUAAGGAUGGUCCAGUCUCUAGCAGCGGGAGAAUUGAAAAUCAGUUUCACCAAAGAAACUGAGUGACGUGAGGAUUGCCAGGUGUGCAGCUAUCUCCUGUCGUUGCUGUGGGGAUCCAGCUGAUCUUAUCACCUGAACCGCGGCCCUCUUCUGUCACUGACAUGGGGGUCCGGACGUCUGCUGUUCUGAGAUCUUAGCCCGCCACUGCAGUAGAGAUCUAGCCAACCUUAGCUCCUGUCCUGGGUCCGCUCCUGUCGCUGAUGGGGCGGCCUCGCCGUCUUCACUCCAUAGGCCCUCUUCGAGCUCUGCUGCUGCGGCCAUGCGGUCUCCAGGCCUUCAUUGAGACCUGCGGCUGAUCCUCCGCCGCCUGCCAUGCUGAGACCUUCUGAUCCGGGGCCUUCACCUGGUCCCUCUGCCUGGGUCCGGUCUGUCCUUCAGCCACCGCCCGUUGCUGCUUCGUGGGUCCAGCCACCAAAGUAUCAUGACCCAGGGACCGAUCUCUGCCACUGCGGCCAUGAUGUCUCCAGUCCUGGUGUACCCAUCUGACACCACUAUGUAUCACAAACUGUUUAAACACACACACACACACACACACACACACACACACACACACACACACACACACACACACACACACAUAUAUAUAUAUAGCGUGAUUGAAAGAAAUCAUGUAUGUUCUUUCAACUAUGGUUGACUAUAUUACUUAUAUGACCUCAGCUUUCUACUCAUUAUUCCUUAUUAAUUAAACAAACAUGUAUGCUUCAAUUGAUUGAAAUAACUGGACACUGCAUCCUGUUGGUCUCCUGACUCCUGCUCCUUACCUGGGGAUCUUACAAGCCCUCAAUGCUAAGGGUCCUCCUGUUGGCUGUUCCUGGGCAGAGGGGGUGACUGCCACCGGAUCCACCACUGCUGGCUCCCCUCGUCCAGAACAGCCUUAAAGCCUCCACUGGCCCCCACCACGUCAAACACCCUGGUCUGGUGACCUCAAGUAACUUCAUGACAUGGUGGCCAGGUGCACCACGGGAUAGGUCUUCUGUUGGACCAGUUUCCCAUCUGGUCUAUGUCUCUGCCUCGCUGGAUGACCACAAGUAUUCAUGUCAUCCCUCUCAGUGACUGUCUGCCCUUGCUGCCAUUUGUUGUUGAUUUCAAAUCGGUACAACACAUCUGUUAAGACGGGCAGCUUCAGUCAGCUGUUCUAGCAUGCUCUACUGGUGUUUUUUAGUCAGGCAGCUCAGCCCCAUUCAGAAGGUCCUAAACUUAUUUUAGUUCCUAUUGGUCAAGGUCACAUAUCUUUGCUGUUCUGAUGAUUUUUUGUUCGUGCAGCUAAACAACCAUAGUCUGUUAGUUUCAAGAGUGGUCAGACCUGUGUGUGUGUGGAUACUUUCUGUCCAUUAAAACCCCUUAAACUGGAA